CAGGGCCGGCUCUUCUCUUUGGUUAUCUAGCUGUAUGAGUGCGCCUGGUUUCAUAAAGCUAGAGAACCGAACGUACGAACCGGCCCGA
rnacentral:pre_miRNA from 1 species